rfam:Desulfotomaculum acetoxidans DSM 771, complete genome.
UUAACGGAGAGUUUGAUCCUGGCUCAGGACGAACGUUGGCGGCGUGCUUAACACAUGCAAGUCGAACGGAGUUAAGAAAAAAGUUUACUUUUUACUUAACUUAGUGGCGGACGGGUGAGUAACGCGUGGAUAAUCUGCCUGUAAGACAGGAAUAACGCCGGGAAACCGGUGCUAAUACCGGAUAACCUCUUUUUAUCGCAUGGUGAAAAGAGAAAAGGCGGCCUCUUUACAAUGCUGCCGCUUACAGAUGAAUCCGCGUCCCAUUAGCCAGUUGGUGGGGUAACGGCCCACCAAAGCGACGAUGGGUAGCCGGCCUGAGAGGGUGACCGGCCACACUGGAACUGAGACACGGUCCAGACUCCUACGGGAGGCAGCAGUGGGGAAUCUUCCGCAAUGGGCGAAAGCCUGACGGAGCAACGCCGCGUGAGCGAAGAAGGUCUUCGGAUUGUAAAGCUCUGUGAUAUUGGACGAACAGAUUUCUUGUAAACAGCAAGGAAAAAUGACGGUACAAUAAGAGGAAGCCACGGCUAACUACGUGCCAGCAGCCGCGGUAAUACGUAGGUGGCAAACGUUGUCCGGAAUUACUGGGCGUAAAGGGCGAGUAGGUGGUUUAUUAAGUCAGAAGUGAAAACUCCGGGCUCAACCUGGAGACUGCUUCUGAAACUGGUAGACUUGAGUGCAGGAGAGGGAAGCGGAAUUCCUAGUGUAGCGGUGAAAUGCGUAGAUAUUAGGAGGAACACCAGUGGCGAAGGCGGCUUCCUGGCCUGUAACUGACACUGAGGCGCGAAAGCGUGGGGAUCAAACAGGAUUAGAUACCCUGGUAGUCCACGCCGUAAACGAUGAGUGCUAGGUGUCGGGGGUAUCGACCCCCUCGGUGCCACAGUUAACACAAUAAGCACUCCGCCUGGGGAGUACGGUCGCAAGACUGAAACUCAAAGGAAUUGACGGGGGCCCGCACAAGCGGUGGAGUAUGUGGUUUAAUUCGACGCAACGCGAAGAACCUUACCAAGGCUUGACAUCCCGUGACCGCCGUGGAAACAUGGUCUUGCAAGUUUACUUGCACACGGAGACAGGUGGUGCAUGGUUGUCGUCAGCUCGUGUCGUGAGAUGUUGGGUUAAGUCCCGCAACGAGCGCAACCCCUACAGCCAGUUGCCAGCACAUAAAGGUGGGAACUCUGGCAGAACUGCCGUUGACAAAACGGAGGAAGGUGGGGAUGACGUCAAAUCAUCAUGCCCCUUAUGUCUUGGGCUACACACGUACUACAAUGGCCUGAACAGAGGGAAGCGAAACUGUGAAGUAGAGCCAACCCCUAAAAACAGGUCCCAGUUCGGAUUGUAGGCUGCAACUCGCCUACAUGAAGUCGGAAUCGCUAGUAAUCGCAGGUCAGCAUACUGCGGUGAAUACGUUCCCGGGCCUUGUACACACCGCCCGUCACACCACGAAAGUCGGCAACACCCGAAGCCGGUGACUUAACUCGCAAGAGAGAGAGCCGUCGAAGGUGGGGUCGGUGAUUGGGGUGAAGUCGUAACAAGGUAGCCGUAUCGGAAGGUGCGGCUGGAUCACCUCCUUU